rnacentral:rRNA from 1 species
AACGAACGCUGGCGGCAUGCCUAACACAUGCAAGUCGAACGAGACCUUCGGGUCUAGUGGCGCACGGGUGCGUAACGCGUUGGAACCUGCCUUUAGGUUCGGAAUAACUCAGAGAAAUUUGAGCUAAUACCGGAUGAUGUCUUCGGACCAAAGAUUUAUCGCCUUUAGAUGGGCCCGCGUUGGAUUAGCUAGUUGGUGGGGUAAAGGCCUACCAAGACGACGAUCCAUAGCUGGUCUGAGAGGAUGAUCAGCCACACUGGGACUGAGACACGGCCCAGACUCCUACGGGAGGCAGCAGUGGGGAAUAUUGGACAAUGGGCGAAAGCCUGAUCCAGCAAUGCCGCGUGAGUGAUGAAGGCCUUAGGGUUGUAAAGCUCUUUUACCCGAGAUGAUAAUGACAGUAUCGGGAGAAUAAGCUCCGGCUAACUCCGUG